CAGGGAUAAUGACCGCACAGAGAAAGAGGAGAAGCAGCCACAGCUUGAGAUUCAUGCUGGCCGUUUGUCUCUUGGGGAGUGACACACUGCAGACCUACUCUGAGUCUUACAGUGUAUAAGACUUUGUCCGAAGUGUGGGUUGUGAGAGGUUAUGCUUGCAGAAGAGGAAAGAUAUCAGUAUAAAUACAAAGCAGGGGCUAAUUACCAUACUAAUGCUGUGUUCCAUUUACCUGGCGUCAAAACUGGAAGAGGGAUGUUGGAGCUGGGAAUGGCGUCACAACCAAGUUGAAGAUGAAUGCGUCCUUGUGCUUGCUCUUUCGGAAAACAAAGACAUAAAAAGGGGUAUUUUGCACAGAUAAUUCUGAAGUAUCAUGUCCAAAGAGGUCGGAUAGUACUGUGUGGACCACUGAGUUUAUUGAAACAAACAAACAGAAAUGAUAAUAAACAACAUAUUAUUACUGUUUCACUACAGCUGAUGCUCUGAGCAGCCAUAUUGGAUUCUGAAGUCGGGGGUUGUUGCGCUUACCCCAAGUUCCCUACAUUGAGGGGGCAUUCCAGUUAAAAGUUCCCAUGGGCUUAGGAAUUUCCCAUGUAACGCAAUGCACCAUUACUGUGGCAGGACUCUGGCCUCUUGUUUGACUAGCAAAAUCAAGUAAACAAUCUUCUGUUCUACUUAAAAAAGUUGCAGGCCUUCACUAUGCAUCUCAAAAGGCCUUAUUCUACUCAUUAAGAGUAACUGUUUUAAUUCUAGUCCUACACUAUAUUGCCAAAAGUUUUGGGGCGCCUGCCUUUACAUGCACAUGAACUUUAAUGACAUCCCAUUCUUAAUCCGUAGGGUUUAAUAUGGAGUUGGCCCA